GUAAAAAAUUUCUGUUGUUCAUCGAAAGGAUAUCAAAAUGAAAAUAAAUCCAACAAUUAGUGGAUUCAACCACAAUGUCCUCGUCAAGCUUAAGGAACCAAUGAUUCUGGAUGUUAUGUAUGUCGUUACAUGCAAGAGACAAUAUCAAAGAGACAACAAGUGGUUCCUCCAAAGUACUUUCCUCAAGUUCAUGCGAGUUAUUCUCAAGCGAUGAUUGACGAGACACAUGAUAUUUUGGUUACAUAUUUUUUCAAGCAAAAACAAGUUAUCAAUGAUCAGAUUGAUGAAGAUGAAGAAAAUGAUAUUUUGGACGUUGAUCAUGAAUGAUAUUUGUAGCUACUUCAU